AAUGAACGCUGGCGGCAGGCCUAACACAUGCAAGUCGAACGGAUCCUUCGGGAUUAGUGGCGGACGGGUGAGUAACGCGUGGGAACAUACCCUUUGGUACGGAGUAGCCUCGGGAAACUGGGAGUAAUACCGUAUGUGGUCGAGAGACGAAAGAUUUAUCGCCAAAGGAUUGGCCCGCGUUGGAUUAGGUAGUUGGUGGGGUAAUGGCCUACCAAGCCGACGAUCCAUAGCUGGUUUGAGAGGAUGAUCAGCACACUGGGACUGAGACACGGCCCAGACUCCUACGGGAGGCAGCAGUGGGGAAUCUUAGACAAUGGGGGAAACCCUGAUCUAGCCAUGCCGCGUGAUCGAUGAAGGCCUUAGGGUUGUAAAGAUCUUUCAGGUGGGAAGAUAAUGACUGUACCACCAGAAGAAGCCCCGGCUAACUCCGUGCCAGCAGCCGCAGUAA
rnacentral:rRNA from 1 species